rnacentral:rRNA from 1 species
GUUAGGAAUAUUGGACAAUGGGCGAAAGCCUGAUCCAGCCAUGCCGCGUGAGUGAUGAAGGCCUUUGGGUCGUAAAACUCUGUCCUUGGGGAAGAAAAAAAUGACGGUACCCGUGGAGGAAGCCCCGGCUAACUACGUGCCAGCAGCCGCGGUAAUACGUAGGGGGCAAGCGUUAUCCGGAAUUAUUGGGCGUAAAGAGUGCGUAGGUGGUUUUGUAAGCGUAGGGUGAAAGGCAGUAGCUCAACUAUUGUUAGCACUGCGAACUGUGAGACUUGAGUGCAGGAGAGGAAAGUGGAAUUCCUAGUGUAGCGGUGAAAUGCGUAGAUAUUAGGAGGAACACCAGUGGCGAAGGCGACUUUCUGGACUGUAACUGACACUGAGGCACGAAAGCGUGGGUAGCAAACAGGAUUAGAUACCCGAGUAGUCC